UCGCCCUUGAGUUUGAUCCUGGCUCAGGAUGAACGCUAGCGGCAGGCUUAACACAUGCAAGUCGAGGGGCAGCAUUUCCAGCAAUGGAAGAUGGCGACCGGCGCAAGGGUGCGUCACGCGUGAGCAACAUACCUAUCACAGGAGGAUAAUCCAUGGAAACGUGGUCUAAUACUCCAUAGAAUUGGUUUCUGGCAUCAGGAACCACUUAAAGCUACGGUGGUGAUAGAUUGGCUCGCGUGACAUUAGCUAGAUGGAGAGGUAACGGCUCCCCAUGGCGACGAUGUCUAGGGGUUCUGAGAGGAAGGUCCCCCACACUGGUACUGAGACACGGACCAGACUCCUACGGGAGGCAGCAGUGAGGAAUAUUGGACAAUGGGUGGAAACCUGAUCCAGCCAUGCCGCGUGCAGGAAGACUGCCCUAUGGGUUGUAAACUGCUUUUGUAUGGGAGCAAUAAGCUCUACGAGUAGGGUGAUGAGAGUACCAUACGAAUAAGCAUCGGCUAACUCCGUGCCAGCAGCCGCGGUAAUACGGAGGAUGCGAGCGUUAUCCGGAUUUAUUGGGUUUAAAGGGUGCGUAGGCUGUUAUGUAAGUCAGCGGUGAAAUACCAGAGCUUAACUUUGGGGCUGCCGUUGAUACUGCAUAGCUGGAAUAUGGUUGCUGUUGGCGGAAUGUGUAGUGUAGCGGUGAAAUGCAUAGAUAUUACACAGAACACCGAUUGCGAAGGCAGCUGACAAAGCCAUCAUUGACGCUGAUGCACGAAAGUGUGGGGAUCAAACAGGAUUAGAUACCCCUGUAGUCCUGGCAGUAAACGGUGCACGCUUGGUGUGCGGGGAAUCGACCCCCUGCGUGCCGGAGCUAACGCGUUAAGCGUGCCGCCUGGGGAGUACGGUCGCAAGAUUAAAACUCAAAGAAAUUGACGGGGACCCGCACAAGCGGUGGAGUAUGUGGCUUAAUUCGAUGCAACGCGAAGAACCUUACCUGGGCUUGACAUGUAAUGAACAACAUGUGAAAGCAUGCGACUCUUCGGAGGCGUUACACAGGUGCUGCAUGGCCGUCGUCAGCUCGUGUCGUGAGAUGUUUGGUUAAGUCCAGCAACGAGCGCAACCCCUGUUGCCAGUUACCAGCACGUGAAGGUGGGGACUCUGGCGAGACUGCCCAGAUCAACUGGGAGGAAGGUGGGGACGACGUCAGGUCAGUAUGGCCCUUAUGCCCAGGGCUGCACACGUACUACAAUGCCCAGUACAGAGGGGGCCGAAGCCGCGAGGCGGAGGAAAUCCUAAAAACUGGGCCCAGUUCGGACUGUAGGCUGCAACCCGCCUACACGAAGCCGGAAUCGCUAGUAAUGGCGCAUCAGCUACGGCGCCGUGAAUACGUUCCCGGGUCUUGUACACACCGCCCGUCACAUCAUGGAAGCCGGUCGCACCCGAAGUAUCUGAAGCCAACCGCAAGGAGGCAGGGUCCUAAGGUGAGACUGGUAACUGGGAUGAAGUCGUAACAAGGUAGCCGUAGGGGAACCUGCGGCUGGAUCACCUCCUU
rnacentral:rRNA from 1 species